rnacentral:rRNA from 1 species
UGGGGAAUUUUGGACAAUGGGCGCAAGCCUGAUCCAGCAAUGCCGCGUGCAGGAUGAAGGCCUUCGGGUUGUAAACUGCUUUUGUACGGAACGAAACGGCUCUGGUUAAUACCUGGGGCUAAUGACGGUACCGUAAGAAUAAGCACCGGCUAACUCCGUGCCAGCAGCCGCGGUAAUACGGAGGGUGCGAGCGUUAAUCGGAAUUACUGGGCGUAAAGCGUGCGCAGGCGGUUAUAUAAGACAGAUGUGAAAUCCCCGGGCUCAACCUGGGACCUGCAUUUGUGACUGUAUAGCUAGAGUACAGUAGAGGGGGAUGGAAUUCCGCGUGUAGCGGUGAAAUGCGUAGAUAUGCGGAGGAACACCGAUGGAGAAGGCAAUCCCCUGGACCUGUACUGACGAUCAUGCACGAAAGCGUGGGGAGCUAAC